rnacentral:misc_RNA from 1 species
UCCAGACACCUGCCCCUACCUUAG